AUCAGGCACAAAGCAGCUGUCGCCAAAUACCAGCCGAUGCUUGCACACUCUCUCGCCAUGAUGACGGGCACAGCACAUUGAUGCACCACAGUCUCUGUCAAGUUUACACCGAGCCCCUAAGAAGAAGGGCUGUUUGCAGGCAUCUCCGUCUCUCUGUCUUUAAGUCCAACGGGUCCAUCUUCAGGUGGGCUAUAAGGUAUAGACAGCAUCCAGGCCCAGAUCCUCGCUUGAACAGGGGCAAGAGAGAUUCCAGCUUUAAUCAUAACCAUUCUGCACUGUUCGUGUGCCAGGUGGAUGGUGAGAGAGAAAGACAGGAAGAUCUGGAACGAAGGAAACUGAGACAUGACAUCACUCAUUAGUUGCCUUGUGGGAAU